rnacentral:rRNA from 1 species
GACGAACGCUGGCGGCGUGCCUAAUACAUGCAAGUUGAGCGAUGAAGAUUGGUGCUUGCCCCAAUUUGAAGAGCAGCGAACGGGUGAGUAACGCGUGGGGAAUCUGCCUUUGAGCGGGGGACAACAUUUGGAAACGAAUGCUAAUACCGCAUAACAACUUUAAACAUAAGUUUUAAGUUUGAAAGAUGCAAUUGCAUCACUCAAAGAUGAUCCCGCGUUGUAUUAGCUAGUUGGUGAGGUAAAGGCUCACCAAGGCGAUGAUACAUAGCCGACCUGAGAGGGUGAUCGGCCACAGUGGGACUGAGACACGGCCCAAACGCCUACGGGAGGCAGCAGUAGGGAAUCUUCGGAAAUGGACGAAAGUCUGACCGAGCAACGCCGCGUGAGUGAAGAAGGUUUUCGGAUCGUAAAACUCUGUUGGUAGAGAAGAACGUUGGUGAGAGUGGAAAGCUCAUCAAGUGACGGUAACUACCCAGAAAGGGACGGCUAACUACGUG